rnacentral:rRNA from 1 species
UACGUAGGUGGCAAGCGUUUGUCCGGAUUUAUUGGGCGUAAAGGGCGCGCAGGUGGUGUGCUAAGUCUGCCGUGAAAUCUCCCGGCUCAACUGGGAGGCUGCGGUGGAGACUGGUGCGCUUGAGGUACCUAGAGGUCGGUGGAAUUCCCGGUGUAGUGGUGAAAUGCGUAGAGAUCGGGAGGAACACCAGUGGCGAAGGCGGCCGGCUGGGGGUGACCUGACGCUGAGGCGGCGAAAGCGGUGGGGAGCGAACCGG